GGCUCCGUGGCUUAAUGGUUACGGCUUCUGCCUCACAAGCAGAAGGUUCAGGGAUCGAAUCCUAGCCGGUACCU
rnacentral:tRNA from 1 species